UUUAACUUUUAUUUUUUCUGCAGAAAAGGUAAUUUUGAGAAAAUAUUAAAAUGAAAACUUCUUCUAAGCAGGGUUUUUUCCCUAAUCACUUUAGUACCACAACAGUGGCCAUGAGGAAUUUGGAAGUGUCAAUUUGGUUAAACAGAAGUUGGCAAGAUUUAAGCCUUGUUGAGGAUGGUUUAAAUUUACAUUUGGGUUUUGACUUCCUGAUCUGUACCUAUGACUGAUUGUUAACCCCUAUAGGAACGUAAUAAAAGCACGUAAAAACUUAAUUGCAUUAAAAUCACAUUUGGUACUUGUGAGCUACUAGAGUGGGGUUCAGAGUUUCUCACUUGUGAGAUGCUAAAUGGUUUAGAUUUAGUGAGGGAAAAUUUUUUGAUAUGUAACUGUUGACAUUCAUAUCAAAUUUCCUUUUUGCAAUUCAUGGAAACAAUUUCCAUGUUAAGUGUGGCUAAUAUGGUUAAGGCACUGCUCUUGGUUCUUCUAUUAACACUUGCCGUUCUUUGUCGUGGACAAAAUCUGUAUUAAAUCAAUUUGUUGCAGUGGUUGGUGGUGAAAAGAGGAGAGAAUAAGAAAGCACUAUUGCUAUCUAGUAUUCUGCUCCAAUUGUUAUUGUUAUUACUAUUUUUUUGUGAACUACUACUGUGAUUGUCCUUCUGACCUGAAAUGGAAGGUCAUUAUAUCUUAACUAAUGGUACAGGAUGGUUCUUGGGCUGAAAAUCUUCUUUGGGUUGGAUCAUAAUAUCAUAUUUCUUUUGUCUUCUGAUUGAUGGAUCCCCAGUACAAAAAUAUGAAAUCUCCUAAACAAAUUUUUUCCAAGUAUCUGAGUUUUUUACCUUUGUGUGAUGUUAGAAAACUAAGCUAAAGGAUCAAAGAGAAUAUUUAAACUUUGGGUUAAAUACCAAAAAGCCCCCUGUGGUUAAGUGGUUGUUAACAUUACCUUCCUAUGGUUAGGAAACCUACACUUGUCCUUAUGGUUUUGAACUAAAGUGAAACUGUUAGCUUUCCCAUUGAAACAAUGAUGAAAUUACCAAAUUGCCCUUUGAAUCAAGGUUAAGUAGAAAUUAAAAUGAAUGUGUAGGGCAAAAAUACAAUUUCAGAAAUAUUUCAGGGUAAGGAUGAAAAUUCAGAAGAUAGCUUCUUCCCCAUAAUAUGUUUUGGCAAAAAGGUCACCAUAUCUGUGACCAGGAUCACAAUUUGCCACUGCAUUCACUGCUGAAGGCCACAGCUGACCGGUGGCAAAAUUUCAUGGAUUUUGUAUCUUGGAUUCCUUUUUUGCAUGGAUUUGCAUAGAUCCCGAUUUCAUCCU
rnacentral:lncRNA from 1 species